ACCCCGUUUCCUCGUAGCUAUAUUUAGAGUAUUUUUUAACUUAGAUUUAAGAAGAUUCACGCCGGAUUGAGAAAAAGAAUUUAUUUUAAUUCCAACGAAAAUGAUUUACAAAAGCAUUUGUAAAUUUAGUUAUUAAAUUUAUAUGCAUUGCAUAUUUAUUUAAUUUAACAUUCAAGCAUUUUCACGAGCUUUUAAUUAGCAAACCCUGAAGUAGUAUUACAGUUACGACAAUUUUAUCCUGAGGAAUUUAAAUUGUCCAAUCAUAGCCGCCCACCCUAUGCCUCAUAGCCGCCCACUCUACAGCCCAAUUCCAGCCCCAAAAGUCAGGCUGUGUAGAUCCCAACUUUUCUACCAAAUCAAAUGCAGAUCCCAACUUUUCUACCAAAUCAAAUGCGCCAUAUUAGUUUGACAUUUCCCACACCCACCUACUCCCUCAUUUUUGCAAACUUAAUAUAGCUGGGUUGAUCCGAGCUUCCAUCUUCCAUCCUACACAAUCAUCCAACAUAUUGCAUCUCUCUCACAAGAAAAUCCGAAGCUCAAGAAUUUCAGCAACUAAGCAUAUACAGAAACUGAUCCAGCAGAAUCCUUAUAAAGGCUUUAUGAACCAAGGGGAUUAGCGCUGCUUUCCCAAGACGAGUUUAUGUGAUUAUGAUCUUCAGGUUUUGCCUAUCCAGGUGGGCUUACUUUCCAAAUGUACAAAGUAUGAUUGAGUUAUUAAGCUCUAAAUGUUUUCAAUGAAAUGCAAAUUGUUUAUUUAAUGUAAUGAAAACUGUUUAUCCAAUAAAAUAUUUUGUGCA